ACCAAAAUCCCCAAAACGGCAAAACCUAAUAAAAAACCCUUUAAACUCACUUUUUGCGUCCUUCCCAGCCGCCUCCCCAUGCGUUCCCUUCCCAACCGCCUCCCCUUUUCCUCCCUUUUCACAUUUCCUUCUUCAACAUCACUUUCUCUCUUCACAUGUACAGGGCAAACCAAUGGAAUCAUUGGCUAGAUAGCCUGGCGUCUUCUGUCUUUCCAAUAUUGUGAUAGGUAUUGAGUGGAACCUUGAAGAUUAUAAUAUAGUGUUGGGAAGAGCAACAGUUCGUCGAAAAGACAUUACAAAUAAAAAUUAGAUGAAAAUCCUUUCAAAAGUUUUUAGAAAAGUAUAAAGGGUACAUUUUAAUCUAUUGAAUACAAGAAGAUCAAGGAUUAGUCUUGAUGCAAAGAGUGAAAUUACUUCAUCCGGGACGGGAGAAGAUCAUUUGUUGGCAACAUUUUCAAUCCCAGAUUAAAUACUUAGAACUUAGUUUUGUUUUGAUGUAGAACCCUUCAGAAUUUUAUAUAUUAUAGUUGAAUGACCGAGUUUACUUUAGAUAGAUAAUUGUAUAUUUUAGAAUUAAUUUUUAAAAUUUUUGGAUGUAAAUUUGUAUAAUAAAGUGAUAUUCAAUGUUUAUUAUUGUA